rnacentral:tRNA from 1 species
GCAUUGGUGGUUCAGUGGUAGAAUUCUUGCCUGCCAUGCGUGAGGCCCAGGUCUUUAACUCCCAAUGCA